CGAUCACGAUGUCCUUCAGGUGGCUGUUGAGCCAUAACAGGGAAUCCGGUGUGAAACCGGAGCGGUCCCGCCGCUGUAAUCCUCAAGAGAAAAACCGACUCCACAAGCCACUGCCGCACGGCGGGAAGGCGGAGCGGACGAGGAAAGCCAGAAGACCUACCUGAAGCGUUUCUUGCCG
rnacentral:ncRNA from 2 species